CACUGCCGAGAAAAGCCUCUAGAUAGAAAAUAGGUGCCCGUACCGCAAACCGACACAGGUAGUCAAGAUGAGAAUUCUAAGGUGAGCGAGCGAACUCUCGUUAAGGAACUCGGCAAAAUGACCCCGUAACUUCGGGAGAAGGGGUGCUCUUUAGGGUUAACGCCCAGAAGAGCCGCAGUGAAUAGGCCCAAGCGACUGUUUAUCAAAAACACAGGUCUCUGCUAAACCGUAAGGUGAUGUAUAGGGGCUGACGCCUGCCCGGUGCUGGAAGGUUAAGAGGAGUGGUUAGCUUCUGCGAAGCUACGAAUCGAAGCCCCAGUAAACGGCGGCCGUAACUAUAACGGUCCUAAGGUAGCGAAAUUCCUUGUCGGGUAAGUUCCGACCCGCACGAAAGGCGUAACGAUUUGGGCACUGUCUCAACGAGAGACUCGGUGAAAUCAUAGUACCUGUGAAGAUGCAGGUUACCCGCGACAGGACGGAAAGACCCCGUGGAGCUUUACUGUAGCCUGAUAUUGAAAUUCGGCACAGCUUGUACAGGAUAGGUAGGAGCCUUUGAAACGUGAGCGCUAGCUUACGUGGAGGCGCUGGUGGGAUACUACCCUAGCUGUGUUGGCUUUCUAACCCGCACCACUUAUCGUGGUGGGAGACAGUGUCAGGCGGGCAGUUUGACUGGGGCGGUCGCCUCCUAAAAGGUAACGGAGGCGCUCAAAGGUUCCCUCAGAAUGGUUGGAAAUCAUUCAUAGAGUGUAAAGGCAUAAGGGAGCUUGACUGCGAGACCUACAAGUCGAGCAGGGUCGAAAGACGGACUUAGUGAUCCGGUGGUUCCGCAUGGAAGGGCCAUCGCUCAACGGAUAAAAGCUACCCCGGGGAUAACAGGCUUAUCUCCCCCAAGAGUUCACAUCGACGGGGAGGUUUGGCACCUCGAUGUCGGCUCAUCGCAUCCUGGGGCUGUAGUCGGUCCCAAGGGUUGGGCUGUUCGCCCAUUAAAGCGGUACGCGAGCUGGGUUCAGAACGUCGUGAGACAGUUCGGUCCCUAUCCGUCGUGGGCGUAGGAAAUUUGAGAGGAGCUGUCCUUAGUACGAGAGGACCGGGAUGGACAUACCUCUGGUGUACCAGUUGUCGUGCCAACGGCAUAGCUGGGUAGCUAUGUGUGGACGGGAUAAGUGCUGAAAGCAUCUAAGCAUGAAGCCCCCCUCAAGAUGAGAUUUCCCAACUUCGGUUAUAAGAUCCCUCAAAGAUGAUGAGGUUAAUAGGUUCGAGGUGGAAGCAUGGUGACAUGUGGAGCUGACGAAUAC
rnacentral:rRNA from 1 species